UACGGAGGGGGCUAGCGUUGUUCGGAAUUACUGGGCGUAAAGCGUGCGCAGGCGGUUAUUUAAGCCAGACGUGAAAGCCCCGGGCUUAACCUGGGAAUGGCGUUUGGGACUGGAUAGCUAGAGUACGGCAGAGGGAGGUGGAAUUCCACGUGUAGCAGUGAAAUGCGUAGAUAUGUGGAGGAACACCGAUGGCGAAGGCAGCCUCCUGGGCCAGUACUGACGCUGAGGCGCGAAAGCCAGGGGAGCAAACGGG
rnacentral:rRNA from 1 species